rnacentral:rRNA from 1 species
CCUACGGGAGGCAGCAGUGAGGAAUAUUGGUCAAUGGACGAGAGUCUGAACCAGCCAAGUAGCGUGAAGGAUGACUGCCCUAUGGGUUGUAAACUUCUUUUAUAUGGGAAUAAAAUGUUCCACGUGUGGGCUUUUGUAUGUACCAUAUGAAUAAGGAUCGGCUAACUCCGUGCCAGCAGCCGCGGUAAUACGGAGGAUCCGAGCGUUAUCCGGAUUUAUUGGGUUUAAAGGGAGCGUAGGUGGAUUGUUAAGUCAGUUGUGAAAGUUUGAGGCUCAACCGUAAAAUUGCAGUUGAAACUGGCAGUCUUGAGUACAGUAGAGGUGGGCGGAAUUCGUGGUGUAGCGGUGAAAUGCUUAGAUAUCACGAAGAACUCCGAUUGCGAAGGCAGCUCACUGGACGACAACUGACACUGAGGCUCGAAAGUGUGGGUAUCAAACAGGAUUAGAUACCCCGGUAGUC